rnacentral:RNase_P_RNA from 1 species
CGAGCCGACCAGACGGCCGCUCGCGCCCUCGGGCGCGGGAGGAAAGUCCGAGCUGCACAGGGCAGGGUGCUGGAUAACGUCCAGUGGAGGCGACUCCAAGGAAAGUGCCACAGAAAACAAACCGCCGCGCGGAGCGCGGUAAGGGUGAAACGGUGCGGUAAGAGCGCACCAGAAGCCAGGUGACUGGCUUGCUUGGCAAACCCCACCCGCAGCAAGACCGAAUAGGGGAAGGAUGAGGUGGCCCGCCGACUUCCCGGGUUGGUCGCUAGAGGCCGCGGGUAACCGCGGUCCCAGAUAAAUGGCCGUCCUCGACAGAACUCGGCUUAUCGGUCGACUCGCCAC